GCCUACAAAAUACAUCCAUGUCUUCUAUCCUUCAUUCCACCGGAGUCUGUUUCUUCUAAUCAAUCAGAUUUCAGUGGUGUGAAGAGUAAGAAGCAUGGAGCUUA
rnacentral:pre_miRNA from 14 species